CUUUCUCUAGUUUGAAUCAAGAUUAUAUGUUACACUAUUGUAUCAGAUAAGGGUGAAGGUUUGGUACCAUCAAAAACUUUUAAACCCGCUGCAAUUGUUUGCACAUGUCCUUAGUCAGAAAUCUGAUCUUCAGUAGUUGUCGUUUGUUGAUGUAGUUCAUAAGUGUUUCUCGUUUCUUGUUUUUUAAAUAGAUUAGACCGUUGAAUUUCCACUAGUAAUUUUUAUGGUCCUUUAUAGCUUGCUGUUCGGUGUAAGCAAGGGCUCCGUGUUAAAAACCGUCCUUUGACCUAUAACGGUUUCCUUUUAUAAAUUGUGACUUGGAUGGAGAUUUGUCUCAUUGGCACUCAUACCACAUCUUCUUAUAUCUAUAUAAAACUUUCUUUUAAAUUUUUUCAUUUUUUUUUUUUUCACAAAUUUAGGUUAGCAUUGCACAAUGCGUGUAUCUUUGGACUUUCUAUUGAAUUUUAACCUAAUCCGAAAAGCAGUCGCCUAUAUUAGAGUAUUCCGAUGUCAUAGUUUUGGUGCCGUCAGAAAGUACUAAUACUUUGAAUAUAAAUAUAAAGAGAUACAGUAUGCGAUAAAUGAGCUAGCCUGCUUCCAGCAAUCUCAAGUUUACUUUGAUUUAUCAUAUGUUUAGUAGUAAAUACAGUAGUUUUGCAUAUCUGAGAAAUUGCCUGCUUUUUAAUCCAUAUCUCGCAACUUUGAUGCACACCCUUUAUCGCAUACCCUUAAUCACACCCCUAUUUUUUUUAAUUUUUUUUUUUUACAUAAUUAAAGUCAGUUUUUAUUUAUGUAAGCUUAAGAAAAAUUUUCCUCAAAAUAGGUCCCAUAAAAUGGUCAUUCUGGCGUGACGCAAUUUACUGAAAUCAUAUGCAGUUCAAUGUUUUGUACCAAUUUCAGUGUUUUAGGAAUAAAAGAAGGUUACGUCGAUGAAAUUGCAACUCAAAAGAUACAAUAAAAAAAGUUAACGGAAGAC
rnacentral:lncRNA from 1 species